UACGUAGGGUGCAAGCGUUGUCCGGAAUUAUUGGGCGUAAAGAGCUCGUAGGCGGUUUGUUGCGUCGGCUGUGAAAUCCCGAGGCUCAACCUCGGGUCUGCAGUCGAUACGAGCAAACUAGAGUGUUGCAGGGGAGACUGGAAUUCCUGGUGUAGCGGUGAAAUGCGCAGAUAUCAGGAGGAACACCGGUGGCGAAGGCGGUUCUCUGGGACGUGACUGACGCUGAGACGCGAAAGCGUGGGGAGCAAACAGG
rnacentral:rRNA from 1 species